CCGGCGCGGGCGCGAAGCGCGUGUCGGGCGCGCAGCCCUCGAGGUCCCCACCCGGCGCGCGCGGGACGCCCACCAGGCCCUGCGCGCCCUCCUUGGGCGAGCUGUCGCCGAAGCGGCCGCUCUCCGACACGCUCCACACCGUCAGGUAGGGACGUCUCCAUUCCCGGAAGUAUAGGCCUUCCUUCCAUGCGGAUCCCAAAGCUACCAAUGCUGAGAGUGGAGAAGAAGGGAAAGGAUUGCAACAGCUGCUAGGAAUCACAUAGGGAGUGCACGAGACAUAGAAAGGAUUUGGACAUCUUUGUUGGCAUCAGAAGAGAAAAAGAGCCGUCACGGAAAGCUAUCUGAGGUUUGUCCUCUUUUAGCUGAACCAGCUGAAGUCUUAACAGAUUUGUGUAUGACUAAUACUUGGUGAAUAGCUGUGUGCUUAAAGACCCGUGAAAAUAAAAAUUAGAAGAGCAUCUUGGCCGCACAAUAUGGUGAACGUGCUCAGUGACUUUUUGUAUUUAAAAUGGUUGGUCCCCUGUUCAGUGAAUUUUACUUCCAUCAGACAAUUGAUGAAAGAAGAUGUGAAGCACUCGCUUGCCCCAACUACUUAACUACUUCAAAAGGAUGAAAACAAUCAACUGUGGGGAAAUACACAGAAGCCUUCUCACGAGCACUCAGAGAGAUGACCAAUUUUAAAUUCGUCUGAGAUCCUCAGAAAUUAAUUUUGAAAAUAAACCUUGCACAGAUUUGCUCAGAUAAUUAUAACAAAAUGUGACAUGAGUACAAAUGGUUCUGAAGCUUGCUAGUAUUAACUGUUUUUCACAUUUUCUGCCUCUAUGUGAGGGGACUUCAAAAAGCUCAUGGAGGGGCUGGUGCUGUGGUGUAGUAGGUUAAGCCACUGCCUGCAGUGCCGGCAUCCCAUAUGGGCGCUGGUUCGAUUCUCAGCUGCUCCACUUCCUAUCCGGCUCUCUGCUAUGGCCUGGGAAAGCAGUAGAAGAUGGCCCAAGUCCUGGGGUCCCUGCACCCACAUGGGAGACUGGAUGAAGAUCCUGGCUUUGGCCUGGCCCAGCUCUGACCAUUGAGGCCAUUUAGGGAGUGAACCAGCAGGAGGAAAAUCUCUCUCUCACUCCUUCUUGCUGUCUCUGUGCCUGUUUCUCUGUAAGUCCAAUUUUCAAAUAAAUAAUUUUUUUAAAAAAGAGUUUUAAAAUAGCUCAUGGAGGGGCCCGCACUGUGUCAUGGUGGGUUAAGCUGCUACCUGCAGUGCUGGGAUCCCAUAUGGGUGCUGGUUCUGGUCUUGGAUGCUCCACUUCAGAUUCAACUCCCUGCUAAUGUGCCUAGGUAAACAGCAGAAGAUGGCCCAAGUGCUUGAGGCCCUGCAUCCAUGUGGAGAAGCUCCUGGCUCCUGACUUCAGCCUGGUCUAGCCCCAGCUGGGCUUUCUUUAAGGAAAGAACCAGUGAAUGGAAGAUUCUCUCUCUCAAAAAAAAAAAAAAAAAAAAAAAAAAAAAAAACUCAUGGAAAACGUAUAUUAUGGCAGGUGUUAUGCUACUGCUUGGAAUGCCAGUCUCCCGUAUUGGAGUCCCUGAAUUCAAGUACUGCCUUUGCUUCCGUACAGCUUCCUAUAACGUGCACUCUGGAAGACAGCAGGUGAUGGCUCAAGUGCUUAGGCACUUUGGGGAGUGAACCAGCAGAUGGAAGACCUCUCUCUCUCUGCCUCUCUCUGCCUCUGUGACUCUGCCUUUCAAAUAAAUAAAUAAAUACCUUUUUUUUUUUUAAAAAAAAGAUGCACUUAUUUGCCUGUCUGUGAAUUUAAGUGAAACACCUUCCAAUUCAUUCCACUUUUCUUCUUUCUUUCUUUCUUUCUUUUUUUUUUUUUUUUUUUUUUUUUUUUUUUUCUGACAGGCAGAGUGGACAGUGAGAGAGAGACAGAGAGAAAGGUCUUCCUUUGCCGCUGGUUCACCCUCCAAUGGCCACCGCGGCUGGCGCGCUGCGGCCGGUGCACCGCGCUGAUCCGAUGGCAGGAGCCAGGUACUUAUCCUGGUCUCUCAUGGGGUGCAGGGCCCAAGGACUUGGGCCAUCCUCCACUGCCUUCCUGGGUCACAGCAGAGAGCUGGCCUGGAAGAGGGGCAACUGGGAGAGAAUCCGGCGCCCCGACCGGGACUAGAACCCGGUGUGCUGGCGCCACAAGGCGGAAGAUUAGCCUAGUGAGCCGCGGCGCCGGCCCAUUCCACUUUUCUUCAUUUUUUAAAAAAAUAUUUACUUUGGAGGCAGAGAAACAGAAAGGAAGAGGGACAGAUAGACAGGCAGAAACAGAGAUUUCUGAUCCAGUUAGUGUCCUGCAACAGCUGAGGCUGGGGUGGGGGCACAGAGCCAGGAGCAGGAACAGGAGCCAGGAACACAAUCCAGGUCUCUCACGUGGGUGGCAGGGACCCAGUUACUUGAGCCAGCACCGCUGCUUUCCAGCAUGAGCAGUAAGAGAAAGUUGGAGUCAGGAGCAGGAGCUGGGAAUUGAACUCAGGGACUCUGAUGGGGAACACAGGCGUCCUAACCACUAGUCUGACCACCUGCUCCCCAUUCCAACUUUUUGAUCUGUCUGUAUGCUCAUCAAACAACUGCAUAAUCUCUCAGCCUCACUGGUGACCAGAAAGGAGGGUGGGGGCCCCUGAUUAUGAAGUGGGAGCUUUUAGGUAUUGGGUCCAGUCUGAGUCUAAUCAGCCCAAGGCCACCAGGCCAAACCCGAAGCCCAAGAAAGUCAGGUUCAUUGGCUCUGGGAAAUGAGAGACUACCUAUCAGUGGAACUCCUGGACAUUUCACCAAAUAGAGAAAGAGAUAAGGUAAUCAGGUGAUUUGGGGGGAAGGGAGGUAUUUAAGUACUGAGGAGUGAAGCAAUGUUUUGGUGGCUUCCAGGCAAACAGGCUGCAGGUAAAGGGUCCACUUUGGGUCCAAACUGCAAGGUGGACUCAGGGACCUGUGUCAUGCAACUGUGUGUGUGAGAAGUUGAAGCUCUUCUUGAUGUUGAAAGAUUUCCAUCCUCUGGACAAAAGUGGAAUAUUUCAUUGUUACUGAUUUGAUUUCACUUGGCAAAGUUUCUGACAGCCGAGGUUGCAGAUAAAGUCUCUCAUUGACUCAAAAGGCAGAAAUCACUCAAAAGAGGGUUUGUUAGGCAUUUGACAGCUGGAGAGGGCCCCCAGAGAGAAUAUUGCUUCCCUGGGUGCAUUACACUAGCCAAUUUUUUCUUUCUCUGUCUGACUCCAUUUUUGCUUUCUCCAUAAAGCAUCUGGAGAGAGAAUUGUUGGGUCUUUAUAUAAAAAAAAUGACCAGCCAAUUUGCAGGAUAUAGUACACUCUAGAUGAGCACAAUAAAAAAAUAACUGCUAUGCUGAAAACCAAAGAAGAUUGGAUUAAGAUGGCAGAGUAGGGAGGGUGCUUACUGCUCUAGUCUAGGAGAAAAUAGUUUAUAAAAAAAAAAAAAUGGAGAGAAUGUAGUUUCAGGGAAGAGUUAGGGAGAAAACAGCAGAGGAAACUCCAUGUAAAUCAGAGGGACACUGUGGACCUACAUGGAGGAUGUCGACGUGCACGACUCAGGACCCCAGCACCUGAGUCUCCGGACUAGCUUUGGAGAGUGAGGUGAGAACAGACUGCAGCAUCCCAAGCCACUGGAGAUAAAGCUGCAGGAAGAGCCUGGAGGGAAUCUAGCUUGGAGGCCUGUGGGGGAUAGUGUACCUGCCAAACUAGAGGAAAAAGCAGAGGGGGCACAUUCCUCUCUGAUCACCCUGCAGUUGUGUCCUGUAACAAGCUAAUAGAGAGCGGUCACCAUUUUGGACAUACAUAACAGCUGUGCUGGCCUCAGGCCCAGCAACCAGCUGAGCAAAGACUCCUGAGUCUGGUGGGGAAAACAGACAGGGGGCUGGGUGCUUGUGACUGUGGGAGGCUUGUGUGCCGGGACUGUGAAAACACUGAGGCUGUGUGGGAGGACUCAGGGUGUGAAUGGGACUUUGGGCAGUCACUGUGGGAGGUCUCACACCAUUAGGGCUCCCUGGUUCCCUGGUGAGGGACAUUGCUGUGGAAUCUGUGCUUUCUCUGAGGACUGCACAGAUCCUUUGUGUGGUUCUUUAUUAUUAUUAUUAUUAUUAAAGAUUUAUUUAUUUAUUUAAGAGGCAGAGUUACACAGAGAGAGAAGAAGCAGAGAGAGAGAGAGAGAGGUCUUCCACCCACUGGUUCACUCCCCAGUUGGCCACAAUAGCUGGAGCCAUGCCAAUCUGAAGCCAGGAGCAAGAAGCUUCUUCCAGGUCUCCCACGUGGGUGCAGGGGCCCAAGGACUUGGGCCAUCUUCUACUGCUUUCCCAGACCAUGGCAGAGAGCUGGAUCAGAAGUGGAGCCACGGCCGGCGCUGCGGCUCAAUAGGCUAAUCCUCCACCUAGCGGCGCCGGCACACCGGGUUCUAGUCCCGGUCGGGGCACCAGAUUCUGUCCCGGUUGCUCCUCUUCCAGGCCAGCUCUCUGCUGUGGCCCGGGAAGGCAGUGGAGGAUGGCCCAAGUGCUUGGGCCCUGCACCCGCAUGGGAGACCAGGAGAAGCACCUGGCUCCUGGGUUCAGAUCAGCGCAGCGCGCGAGCCGUGGCGGCCAUUGGAGGGUGAAAAGGCCAUUGGAGGGCAAAAAAGGAAGACCUUUCUCUCUGUCUCUUUCUCUCACUAUCCACUCCGUCUGUCAAAAAAAAAAAAAAAAAAGUGGAGCCACCAGGACUUGAACUGUCACCCGUAUAGGAUGCCGGCACUGCAGGCAGCGGCCUCUGUGUGGUUCUUGUGGUAGCGUGAACAAAUGCUAUACUCUCUGGGGCUAGCACCCAGGCACUCCUUUGAGGAAAGGAGGUAAACUGAGUCUACACCAAUAAAGCAGAACAAACAUGCCCUCUGAUAAAAAAAAAUUAAAAAAAGAUUUACCAUGCCCAAUCUGGGAGUCACCUUGGACAUUCCCUUCACCUUGGAGCACUGAACAGAGCUCCAUCACAUGCUUGGAGGUAUUCCCUGAAAGCAGACACUCUGCUAAUCCACACUUAGUCCAAAGAUAAAAACCACCACAGUGAAAAAACAAAGAAACUAAUGACUAUCUCCACAAAUACCAAAUAACAAAUGUACCAAUUCAAGAAACAAGAAUAGGGAAGACAACAUGAUGCCUCCAAAAGAAUAUAACACUUCAAUACUACAUUGUGAAGAUGAUGAGAUUGAAGAAAUGCAAGAAAUGGAGUCCAGGAAAUUGAUCAUAAGAUUACAUAGAAGUAAUCAGAAGCAAAUGCACAAACUACUGAAAUCCAUACAGGACUUGAAAAAAAUUUCUCCCACAAAAUUGAGAUCUUGGCCGGCACUGUGGCUCACUAGGCUAAUCCUCUUCCUGCGGCACCAGCACACCAGGUUCUAGUCCCGGUUGGGGCACCGGAUUCUGUCCCGGUUGCUCCUCUUCCAGUCCAGCUCUCUGCUGUGGCCCAGGAGUGCAGUGCAGGAUGGCCCAAGUGCUUGGGCCCUGCACCCGCAUGGGAGACCAGGAGGAAGCACCUGGAUCCUGGCUUCAGAUUGGCACAGCGCGCCGGCCACAAUGUGCUGGCCAUAGCGGCCAUUUUGGGGGUGAACGAAUGAAAGGAAGACCUUUCUCUUUGUCUCUCUCUCUCACUGUCUAACUCUGCCUGUCAAAAAAAAAAAAAAUGAGAUCUUAAAGAGAAAUCAAAAUGAAAUCUUGGAAAUGAAGAAUUCAAUAGAACAAUUAUAGUCACAGCGGACUUAUCAGAAACCCUACAGGCUAGGAGAGAAUGGCAAGAUAUAUUCAAGUCUUAGGAGAAAAAACUUUCAACCUAGAAUACUGUACCCUGUAAAGCUUUAAUUUAUGAAUGAAGGUGAAAUAAAGACCUUCCAUGACAAACAGAAAUUGAAAGAAUUUGUCACCACCUGUCCAGCCUUGCAAAAGAUGCUUAAGGAUAUGCUGCACACAGAAACACAGAAACAUGGUCAUCACUACGAAAGAAGGUGAAGUUAGAAAAUCUCCUAGUAAAAGUACAAAGGAAACCCAAAGUAAAAAAAAGAAUAUUUAUGGAAAAAUGGCAGGGCAAAGUCGUUACUUAUCAACAGUUACCUUGAAUAUAAAUGGUCUCAACUCCCCAGUUAAAGGACAGACUGGCUGAAUGGAUUAAAAAACAAAAUCCAUUUAUUUGCUGCCUAUAAGAAACACAUCUCACCAAUAAAGACACACACAGACUGAAAGUUAAAGGAUGGAAAAAAUAUAUUCCAUGCUUACAGAAACCAAAAAAGAGCUGGUGUAGCCAUCCUAAUAUCAGACAAAAUAAACUAUUUCACAGAAACUAUUUAAAAAGACAAAUAAUGGCACUGUAUAAUGAUUAAGGGAGCAAUUCAACAGGAAGAUGUAACUAUUAUAUACAUAUACACACCUAAUUACAGGGCACCUGGCUAUUUAAAAGAAAUGUUAAGGGAUUUAAAGGGAGACAUAGACCCCCAUACAAUUGUAAUGGGAGACUUCAAUACCCCACUUUCAGCAAUAGACAGGUCAAUUAGAAAAAAAAAAAUCAGCAAGGAAAUAACAGAGUAAAUUGACGUUAUAGACAAAAUGGACCUAACAGAUAUCUACAGAACUUUCCAUCUUUAGCCACAGAAUACACAUUCUUCUCAGCAAUGCACAGAAUUUUCUCUAGGAUUGACCACAUACUAGGCCAUAAAGCAAGUCUCAGCAAAUUUUAAAAAACUUGAAAUCAUAUCAUGCAUCUUCUCAGAUGGAGUGAAGCUGGAAAUCAGCAACUGUGGAAUCUCUAGAACAUAUACAAACAUAUGGAGACUGAACAACAUGUUCCUGAAUGAACAGUGGGUCAUAGAAGAAAUCAGAAUAGAAAUCAAAAAAUUUCUGGAAACAAUGAAGAUGACAAUACAACAUAUCAAAACUUAUGGGAUACAGCAAAAGUAGUGUUAAGAGGAAAGUUUAUAGCAAUAGGUGCCUACAUCAAGAAACUGGAGAAGCACCAAAUAAAUGAGCUAUUAAUGCAUCUCAAAGAUCUAGAAAAACAAUAGCAAACCAAACCCAAAACUAGUAGUAGAAAAGAAAUAAUUUGAGAACAAAUAAACAAAACUGAAACAACAAAAAAAUAAAAAGAUCAGAAAAAUGAAGAGCUAGUUUAAAAAAAAAAUGAUACACCAUUGGCCCAGCUAACCAAAUAAAGGAGAGAGAAGACCCAAAUUAAUAAAAUUAGAGAUGAAAAAGGAAAUGUAACAAGACCCCACAGAAAUAAAAAUAAUCAACAGAAAUUACUACAAACAGCUGUAUGCUAACAAACUGGGAGACCCAGAAGAAAUGGAUAGAUUCUUGAACCAUACAAACUACCUAAAUUGAGCCAUGAAGACAUAAAAAACCUAAACAGAUUCAUAACCAAGAUGGAAAUUAACUCAGUAAUAAAGACCCUCCCAAAAAAGAAAAACCCAGGACUGGAUGGUUUCACUGCUGAAUUCUACCAGGCAUUUAAAGAAGAACUAAGUCCAAGUCUUCUCAAGCUAUUCAAAACAAUUGAGAGGGAGGAAAUCCUCUCAAAUUCCUUCUAGAUAACCAGCAUCACCUUAAUUCCUAAACCUGAAAAAUAAGCAACAGAGAAAGGGAACUACAGACCAAUUUCCCUGCUGAACACAGAUGCAAAAAUGCUCAACAAAAUCCUAGCCAAUUGAAUCCAACAACACACCAGAGGGAUCAUUCACCCAGACCCAGUGGGAUUUAUCUUUGGUAUGCAGGGACAGUUCAACAUUCACAAGUCAAUCAAUGUGAUACAUUACAUUAACAAACAAAAGAACAAAAAUCAUAUGAUUAUCUCAAUAGAUGCAGAAAAAGCAUUUGAUAAAAUACAAUAUCUUUUUAUGAUGAAAACUCUAAGCAAAUUGGGUGUAGAAGGAACAUUCCUCAACACAAUAAAGGCAAUUUAUGACAAACCCACAGACAGCAUCCUGUUGAAUGGGGAAAGUUGGAAGCAUUACCACUGAGAUCCAUAACCAGACAAGGAUAUCCAUUCUCACCAUUGCUAUUCAAUAAAGUCCUGGACAUUUUAGCCAGAGCCAUUAGACAAGAAAAAGAAAUCAAAGGGAUACAAAUUGAGAAGGAGGAAGUCAAACUAGCCGUUAUUGCAGAGGACAUGAGUCUAUAUUAAAGGGGAUACAAAAGACUCCACUAAAAGACUAUCAGAACUCAUAGAAGAAGUAAAGUAGCAGGAUAUAAAUUCAAUACAAAAAAAGCAACAGUCUUUGUAUACACAGACAAUGCCAUGGCUGAGAAAGAACUAAGAUAAAUCCUAUUCACAAUAGCUACAAAAAAAAUCAAAUACCUUGAAAUAAACUUAACCAAGGAUGGUAAAGAUCUCUAUGAUGAUAAUUACAAAA